UCAAUAAACUUACACUAAUCUUUAAGAACACAAACUCGAUAAGAAAACCAAUUUUAAAUUAAAUUAAACAGUAGAUUUUAUCGAAAUAAUAAAAAGUGUGAAAGCGAAAAGUAUUGUAAAAGAAAGUAGAAAUAACAUUUAAAAAUCUAAAAAAGUAAAUAUUAAAAAUUGUAUCUCGUGUAUUAUAGGAUUUCAAAAUUCAAUGUACAAACAUAUAUCCCGAAAAAAAGACAGCUAACUUUAAGACAAAGUUUUUGUGGCAACAAAAUUUUAAACUUAAUGUUAGAGGUGAUAUGCCAGUCGAGCUUUUAUAUCUGGUUUUCUAAGAAAUAAAUUCAAUUUAUGUGUUUAACUAAAUAGAUUAAACAACUAAGAAGAUAAGGGUAGAGCUUUUUCUUCAAAAAUGUUAAACUACAGAACCCACAAAUAGACAUAUUUUAAAAAUAGGCUUAACAGUAGCCACUUUUCUUAGGUUUUUCAACCAAUAUAAUAUAAUAUUCUAAAUUUUACUGGUUCUUCAUCUUAAGUAUUAGAAAAUAAAUCCCAACUUUAAUCAUUUAGCUAUUCUGAAAUCAUUAGUAAAAUUCCAAUGUUAAAUAAAAUUUCCAUUUAAUAAAUAAAAUCUAUUAAAUUACUCAAGGUUUGUUUAAGGAACUCGGCAAAUAUUAUCUCCGCCUGUUUAACAAAAACAUGUCUUUGUGAAGAUUUACACAGUCUGGCCUGCCCACUGAAUUAUUGAAGGGCCGCGGUAUUUCUGACCGUGCGAAGGUAGCAUAAUCAUUAGUCUUUUAAUUGGAGGCUCGUAUGAAAGGUCGAACGAGUGAUAGACUGUCUCAGCAAAAAAAAAUUGAACUUAACUUUAAAGUGAAAAGGCUUUAAUAUUUCAGAAAGACGACAAGACCCUAUAAAUCUUCACACCACCUUUUAUACUAAGCCAAUCUGUUUGUAUAAGGAGAAGUAUAAAAAACGUGUUUUGUUGGGGCAACAAAGAUAUAAUUAAAUAACUGUUUUAAUUUUAAAACAAAAAUUUUUGAAAAUAAAUUGAUCCUCUCUAAAGAUUAAAAGAUCAAGUUACUUUAGGGAUAACAGCGUCAUUUUUCUUGAGAGUUCCCAUCGAAAGAAAAGUUUGCGACCUCGAUGUUGAAUUAAAAUUUCUUCAUAAUGCAGCAGUUAUGAAAGAAAGUCUGUUCGACUUUUAAAAUUUUACAUGAUUUGAGUUCAGACCGGCGCGAGCCAGGUCGGUUUCUAUCUUCUAAGAAAAAAUAAACUACUUUAGUACGAAAGGAUCAAGUAGUUAAAAUAAUUUUAUUAACUCGAACACCAUUCUUCCUAAGCAACCAUGCAUUUCAAUUCAUGAAAUAAAUAA
rnacentral:rRNA from 1 species